rfam:Blumeria graminis f. sp. hordei DH14, WGS project CATH01000000 data, contig: 000312
GCCUACGGGCAUUUGGUCAAUUUGAAACGAUACAGAGAAGAUUAGCAUGGCCCCUGCACUAAGGAUGACACGCUCAAUCAAAGAGAAGCUACCAAUUUUU